AAACCAUGAUUCGGAGACUUCUGCAAAUAUUUCAUGAAUCUCUCCCAUGCUUCAAAUAGUUUUUCCCUUAAAAGCUGUGUGAAAUCAUAUAUCUUGUCACGAAUUU